GGUUACUGCUAUCGAGAUUCGAUUAAGCCAUGCGAGUUGAAUGUUCUUCGUGAACAUGGCGGACUGCUCAGUAACACGUGGACAACCUACCCUUGGAUCUGGGAUAAACCCGGGAAACUGGGCAUAAUACCGGAUAAGCCACAUAUGCUGGAAUGCUUUGUGGCUCAAAGCUCCGGCGUCCAAGGAUGGGUCUGCGGCCUAUCAGGGUAGUAGUGGGUGUAAUGUACCUACAUAGCCUACGACGGGUACGGGUUGUGAGAGCAAGAGCCCGGAGAUGGAUUCUGAGACACAAAUCCAGCCCCUACGGGGUGCAGCAGGCGCGAAAACUUUACAAUGCGGGAAACCGCGAUAAGGGAAUCUCGAGUGCCAGCAUAUAAUGUUGGCUGUCCAGAUGCCUAAAAAGCAUUUGUUAGCAAGGGCCGGGCAAAACCGGUGCCAGCCGCCGCGGUAACACCGGCGGCCCGAGUGGUAACCGUUAUUAUUGGGUCUAAAGGGUCUGUAGCCGGCCGAAUAAGUCUCUUGGGAAAUCUGGCAGUUAACUGUCAGGCAGUCAGGGGAUACUGUUCGGCUUGGGACCGGGAGAGGUGAGAGGUACCUCGGGGGUAGGGGUGAAAUCUUGUGAUCCUCGAGGGACCACCAGUGGCGAAGGCGUCUCACCAGAACGGGUCCGACGGUAAGGGACGAAAGCUAGGGGCACGAACCGGAUUAGAUACCCGGGUAGUCCUAGCCGUAAACGAUGCUUGCUAGGUGUCAGCCACGGUGCGACCGUGGUUGGUGCCGUAGGGAAGCCGUGAAGCGAGCCACCUGGGAAGUACGGCCGCAAGGCUGAAACUUAAAGGAAUUGGCGGGGGAGCACUACAACGGUGGAGCG
rnacentral:rRNA from 1 species